rnacentral:rRNA from 1 species
UAUUCCUCCAGAUCUCUACGCAUUUCACCGCUACACCUGGAAUUCUACCCCCCUCUACAAGACUCUAGCCUGCCAGUUUCGAAUGCAGUUCCCAGGUUGAGCCCGGGGAUUUCACAUCCGACUUGACAGACCGCCUGCGUGCGCUUUACGCCCAGUAAUUCCGAUUAACGCUUGCACCCUCCGUAUUACCGCGGCUGCUGGCACGGAGUUAGCCGGUGCUUCUUCUGCGGGUAACGUCAAUUGCUGAGGUUAUUAACCUCAACACCUUCCUCCCCGCUGAAAGUACUUUACAACCCGAAGGCCUUCUUCAUACACGCGGCAUGGCUGCAUCAGGCUUGCGCCCAUUGUGCAAUAUUCCCCACUGCUGCCUCCCGUAGGAGUCUGGACCGUGUCUCAGUUCCAGUGUGGCUGGUCAUCCUCUCAGAUCAGCUAGGGAUCGUCGCCUAGGUGAGCCGUUACCCCACCUACUAGCUAAUCCCAUCUGGGCACAUCUGAUGGCAAGAGGCCCGAAGGUCCCCCUCUUUGGUCUUGCGACGUUAUGCGGUAUUAGCUACCGUUUCCAGUAGUUAUCCCCCUCCAUCAGGCAGUUUCCCAGACAUUACUCACCCGUCCGCCGCUCG